AGCAGCAGCCGCGGUAAUACGGAGGGUGCAAGCGUUAAUCGGAAUUACUGGGCGUAAAGCGCACGCAGGCGGUCUGACAAGUCAGAUGUGAAAUCCCCGGGCUUAACCUGGGAUCUGCAUUUGAAACUGUCAGGCUGGAGUCUUGUAGAGGGGGGUAGAAUUCCAGGUGUAGCGGUGAAAUGCGUAGAGAUCUGGAGGAAUACCGGUGGCGAAGGCGGCCCCCUGGACAAAGACUGACGCUCAGGUGCGAAAGCGUGGGGAGCAAACAGGAUUAGAGACCCGAGUAGUCCCUGUCUCUUAUAC
rnacentral:rRNA from 1 species